rnacentral:rRNA from 1 species
CCUACGGGAGGCAGCAGUGGGGAAUAUUGGGCAAUGGGCGCAAGCCUGACCCAGCAACGCCGCGUGAAGGAAGAAGGCUUUCGGGUUGUAAACCUCUUUUCUGAGGGACGAAGAAAGUGACGGUACCUCAGGAAUAAGCCACGGCUAACUACGGGCCAGCGGCCGCGGUAAUACGUAGGUGGCAAUCGUUAUCCGGAUUUAUUGGGUGUAAAGGGCGUGUAGGCGGGAAAGCAAGUCAGAUGUGAAAACUCAGGGCUCAACCCUGAGUCUGCAUUUGAAACUGUUUUUCUUGAGUGCUGGAGAGGCAAUCGGAAUUCCGUGUGUAGCGGUGAAAUGCGUAGAUAUACGGAGGAACACCAGUGGCGAAGGCGGAUUGCUGGACAGUAACUGACGCUGAGGCGCGAAAGCGUGGGGAGCAAACAGGAUUAGAUACCCCAGUAGUC